GUCUUAGGUUUGACUGGACGUAUACUAAAAUUGAAACGACACAGAGAAGAUUAGGAUGGCUCCAGUGCAAUGAAAGAGUAAUGAGCAAUAUUUUACUGUAUU